UACGUAGGGACCAAGCGUUGUUCGGAUUUACUGGGCGUAAAGGGCGCGUAGGCGGCCCGACAAGUCAGUUGUGAAAUCUCCGGGCUUAACUCGGAACGGCCAAGUGAAACUGUGGAGCUAGAGUGUGGAAGGGGCAAUCGGAAUUCUUGGUGUAGCGGUGAAAUGCGUAGAUAUCAAGAGGAACACCUGAGGUGAAGACGGGUUGCUGGGCCAACACUGACGCUGAGGCGCGAAAGCCAGGGGAGCAAACGGG
rnacentral:rRNA from 1 species